rnacentral:rRNA from 1 species
CCUACGGGAGGCAGCAGUGAGGAAUAUUGGUCAAUGGGCGCGAGCCUGAACCAGCCAAGUAGCGUGAAGGAUGACUGCCCUACGGGUUGUAAACUUCUUUUAUAAAGGAAUAAAGUGAGGCAAGUGUGCCUUUUUGUAUGUACUUUAUGUAUAAGGAUAGGCUAACUCCGUGCCAGCAGCCGCGGUACUACGGAGGAUCCGAGCGUUAUCCGGAUUUAUUGGGUUUAAAGGGAGCGUAGAUGGGUUGUUAACUCAGUUGGGAAAGUUUGGGGCUCAACCGUAAAAUUGCAAUUGAUACUGGCAGCCUAGAGUACAGUUGAGGUAAGCGGAAUUCGUGGUGUAGCGGUGAAAUGCGUAGAUAUCACGAAGAACACCGAUUGCGAAGGCAGCCUACUAAGCUGCCACUGACAUUGAUGCUCGAAAGUGUGGGUAUCAAACAGGAUUAGAUACCCGUGUAGUC